CAGCAGCCGCGGUAAUACGUAGGUGGCAAGCGUUGUCCGGAAUUAUUGGGCGUAAAGGGCUCGCAGGCGGUUUCUUAAGUCUGAUGUGAAAGCCCCCGGCUCAACCGGGGAGGGUCAUUGGAAACUGGGAAACUUGAGUGCAGAAGAGGAGAGUGGAAUUCCACGUGUAGCGGUGAAAUGCGUAGAGAUGUGGAGGAACACCAGUGGCGAAGGCGACUCUCUGGUCUGUAACCGACACUGAGACACGAAAGCGUGGGGAGCAAACAGGAUUAGAUACCCCAGUAGUCCCUGUCUCUUAUAC
rnacentral:rRNA from 1 species